rnacentral:snoRNA from 15 species
UUCAUUGUGGGUCAAUGAUGUAUUCUUGUUGGAACUGAAUCUAAGUGAUCUAACUUAAAGAUUCGUCACUAUCACUGAGACAACGAUGAA